rnacentral:rRNA from 1 species
UGGCUCAGGACGAACGCUGGCGGCGUGCCUAACACAUGCAAGUCGAGCGGGGAGGAGGAAGCUUGCUUCCGAAUCCUAGCGGCGGACGGGUGAGUAACGCGUGAGCAACCUGCCUCUUACUGGGGGAUAACGCAUCGAAAGAUGUGCUAAUACCGCGUAAGACCACGGCACCGCAUGGUGCAGAGGUCAAAGGAGCAAUCCGGUUUGAGAUGGGCUCGCGUCCGAUUAGCUAGUUGGUGAGAUAACGGCCCACCCAAGGCGACGAUCGGUAGCCGACCUGAGAGGGUGAUCGGCCACAUUGGAACUGAGAAACGGUCCAGACUCCUACGGGAGGCAGCAGUGGGGAAUAUUGGGCAAUGGGCGAAAGCCUGACCCAGCAACGCCGCGUGAGGGAAGAAGGGUUUCGGCUCGUAAACCUCUGUCCUAUGGGACGAAUAAGAUGACGGUACCAUAGGAGGAAGCCCCGGCUAACUACGUG